GACAGAGGGGGGCAAGCGUUGCUCGGAAUUACUGGGCGUAAAGGGCUCGUAGGUGGCCAACUAAGUCAGACGUGAAAUCCCUCGGCUUAACCGGGGAACUGCGUCUGAUACUGGAUGGCUUGAGUUUGGGAGAGGGACGCGGAAUUCCAGGUGUAGCGGUGAAAUGCGUAGAUAUCUGGAGGAACACCGGUGGCGAAGGCGGCGUCCUGGACCAACACUGACACUGAUGAGCGAAAGCCAGGGGAGCAAACGGG
rnacentral:rRNA from 1 species